ensembl:lncRNA
GGACGAUGGGGUGUUGCAGUGGGGGGGGGGGCAGGGCAACAGGGCUGUGCUGCAGGGCAGUGGGGCGAUGCAAUGGAGGAUUGCAGCAGGGUGAUGAGGCGAUGCAACGGGGUGAUGCUGCAGGGUGAUGGGGCAUGCAGUGGGGUGAUGCUGCAGGGCAGUGGGGUGAUGCAGUAGGGUGAUGCUGUAGGGUGAUGGGGCAAUGCUGCAGGGCAGUGGGGUGAUGCAAUGGGGCAAUGCAGUGGGGGGAUGCAGUGGGGAGGCAGUGGUGCAGGGAUGCUGUCUCUAUGGGAUGCAGUGGGGAAUCUUUGGGUGCAAGGAUGCUGGCACCUUGGGGAUGCAAUGGGGACACAGUGGUGCACGGAUGGAGGCACCAUGGGGAUGCAAUAGGGAUGCAGUGGUGCAGGGAUGCUGUCUCUAUGGGGUGCAGUGGGGAAGCAUUGGGUGCAAGGAUGCUGACACCUUGAGGAUGCAAUGGGGAUGCAGUGGUGCAGGGAUGCCGGCACCAUGGGGAUGCAAUGGGGAUGCAUUGGUGCAGGGAUGCAGGCACCAUGGAGAUGCAAUGGGGAUGCAUUGGUGCAGGGAUGCAGGCACCAUGGGGAUGCAAUGGGGAUGCAGUGGUGCAGGGAUGCAGGCACCAUGGAGAUGCAAUGGGGAUGCAUUGGUGCAGGGAUGCAGGCACCACGGAGAUGCAAUGGGGAUGCAGUGGUGCAGGGAUGCAGGCACCACGGAGAUGCAAUGGGGAUGCAUUGGUGCAGGGAUGCAGGCACCACGGAGAUGCAAUGGGGAUGCAUUGGUGCAGGGAUGCAGGCACCAUGGAGAUGCAAUGGGGAUGCAGUGGUGCAGGGAUGCAGGCACCUUGGGGAUGCAGUGGGGAUGCAGUGGUGCAGGGAUGCAGGCACCUUGGGGAUGCAGUGGGGAUGCAUUGGUGCAGGGAUGCAGGCACCACGGAGAUGCAAUGGGGAUGCAGUGGUGCAGGGAUGCAGGCACCUUGGGGAUGCAAUGGGGAUGCAGUGGUGCAGGGAUGCAGGCACCAUGGAGAUGCAAUGGGGAUGCAGUGGUGUAGGCCUGCUGGCACCACGGUGGUGCCUGGCCCUGCUGCUGCUGCAGGACCCCCAAGACCCCCCUCCAUGCUCCCAGUGGGUGGCUGCUCUGCAUUUUUUGCAUGCACGGAGGGGCCUCCAUGCAGCUCCCAUGGCUGCGCUCCCACCCCUCCUGGAGCAGCACGUUGGGACCCAGCCCACAACCAACCCACGCUGUGCACGGGGCCGGCAGUGGUGGGAUUUUCCCCGGGGUUGGGGCUGCCACGCUGCUCCCCCCGCAGACCUGGAGGCGCUGCUGGCCGACCUGAGCUCCUUCCUGCUCCUCCUCGACCGGGAGAACCUCAGCGCCGCAGCCCGAGCCAAGAAGCAGUCGGUGGGAGAGCUGCUGCAACGGCUGCAGGGCCCGGCAGCAGCAGCAGAGGAUGCGGAGUACAUGAUGAUGCGCUGCCUCUCGCCUUCCUCGGGGAGCCGGCAGUGCCGGGGUGGUGCAGGUGAGUUGUGCUGUGCACCGAGCUUUGGGUUGCUCACCGUCCUGCUGACCUCGUGCACUGCUUGCAGUCCUGCUCCAACCCCCCCACAACCCCCCAGGAGCUGCGAUGAUGGAUGCAAGAGGAGGGAGAGCGUGUGAGCGUCUCCAGGGCAGCACCCAGAGCUCACAGGUGGGGGUAAGGAUGGCGGGAGCAAAGCUGGGGGGGG